rnacentral:lncRNA from 1 species
AAAAAUCAAAGCGACUUAUAAUUUGGAAUGGAGGGAGUACAUAUUUUCUCUUAGUUAAGUUUUCUUCCAAAUAAUUUUGUUGUUGAGUUUUUCAAUAAGGCAACCGCAGGUGCACAUAUGGCCAAGCAAGCAAUGUACUCUGUUUUCUAAAUCAAUUUUUAUGUACAUAUUUCUUAACAAGCCAUCUUUUUUUUAGGAAACUGUGGACCCGGCAGAGAUUGCCAGGUUUGUAUUAAAAUAAUAAAGAAGAG